rnacentral:rRNA from 1 species
AUGCUCGUUUCCUUGAUGCGAUUCCGUCCGUCGUCCUACAGCUUCUCCUGCUUGGUCUCUCCUCUCGUAUUCGUCGUCGGGCCCGUGCUGAGGCUCCAAGGAUAUGCAGGUCGACUCUCUUUUCCCUUUUCUUUAUUUGUUGGUUUCUGUAUUUUGGUUGAUGUUCGGCUCGGUGUGAUAAGCCUGUCGCUGGGUGUGUUCAUGUGCUGUUGUGAUAUGGUUGUGGUUGGGAUGGGUGCGUACAGUGGCAGACCGGGGGAUUCCUUUGUUAUAUUCCUAUGUUGGUGUGCUUUUCUUUUUCCGGUCUGGCUAGAUACACAUGUAGUGGUGUUCUUGCUGCAUAUGUGA